rnacentral:rRNA from 1 species
AGUGAACGCUAGCGGUAGGCCUAACACAUGCAAGUCGAACGGCAGCACAGUAAGAGCUUGCUCUUACGGGUGGCGAGUGGCGGACGGGUGAGGAAUACAUCGGAAUCUACUUUUUCGUGGGGGAUAACGUAGGGAAACUUACGCUAAUACCGCAUACGACCUACGGGUGAAAGCAGGGGAUCUUCGGACCUUGCGCGAUUGAAUGAGCCGAUGUCGGAUUAGCUAGUUGGCGGGUAAAGGCCCACCAAGGCGACGAUCCGUAGCUGGUCUGAGAGGAUGAUCAGCCACACUGGAACUGAGACACGGUCCAGACUCCUACGGGAGGCAGCAGUGGGGAAUAUUGGACAAUGGGCGCAAGCCUGAUCCAGCCAUACCGCGUGGGUGAAGAAGGCCUUCGGGUUGUAAAGCCCUUUUGUUGGGAAAGAAAAGCAGCAGGUUAAUACCCCGCUGUUCUGACGGUACCCAAAGAAUAAGCACCGGCUAACUUCGUG